rnacentral:lncRNA from 1 species
UUUUUUUUUUGUAUGUGUGACAAAACUUGUGAAUGUUGUCGGACAAAGCCACCUUUUGCAAAGGGUGUGUCAAUUAACCAUCCUUGAAAAAUUAUACUGCGUAUAUAAGUAAAAUAUUAAAUUUUUACACGAAGAAUGAACACUUUCCAAUUUAGUGAACUACAGUCAUUGUUUAGAGAAAAAGAAAAUCAACAUGUACAAACAGAAUUAAGCCAACAUGAAACUAUUACUGGACAUAUCAGCAUGUACAAGUAAAACCAUAACAACAAUAACUCGGUUAGGAGUCUGUACAAAAAACAUGCUUACUACUAUUCAGCAACACAUCUGAGUGCUCUUUUGCAUUGAUCCACCUCAGAGGUUUUGAAACUUAAGGACUGACUGAAUUC